AACAUUUCAUUUCUCCAAACCUGCAACCCCAAUGUUCUAAAAACCCUAACAAUUAGGGUGUCUUCGAUCAACCCAACAAGGCGGAAAGGAAGAAACUUAUUAGGUCGCCGUUACCAAGGGAAGCGAUCGUCAACUGUAGCCUUAGUUCUCUCCAUGCUUUUGAUGCUCACAAUUGUUCUGCUUGUGCUUCUUGCGGUGGGGAUAUUCUCACUUCCGAUUGGAUCUGAUGAUGACGAUUCUUCGUUUUAUCCUCAUGAUCGCAUCAUGUUUAAGCGGAAACAGUUGCUUGUGUAGGGAGUUCUUGAUGCUUUUAGCAACAGCUUUUCUGGUUCACUCCCACCAGAUGUUUGUGAAAUUGCCUCAGUGAAAAUUCACAACUUUGUUGGAAGUUAUUUCAGUGGGCCCAUUCCAAAUUCAUAUGGGUUAUGCAAGAAACUUGAUUUUAUUCAUCUUGCUGGUAAUUUGUUAAGUGGGUAUUUACCUAUUGAAUUUGGUCGGUUAAAAACUCACUCAUAUGGAGAUUAGUUACAAUUCAUAUCAAGGUAGCAUCCCAUGGCAAUUUGGUAAUAUGAGUGAGCUUAGAUAUGUUGAUAUUGCUGGUAAAACCCACCACCAAAAAACGAUUCCGGAUCACCACCGUCACCGCCGCCCUAAAACCCACCACCAAAUCCGGUGUAAAACCCACCACAGCCAUCUCCACCAUCGCAGGAGAGAGAGAAGAGAGAGAAAGGAAGUUUAGAGAGAGAAAUUGAGAAUGCAAAAUUUUUUUUCUUUUUGUUAUAAACUUUUCAUAUUUAUAAAAUAGUCCAUUAAUAUAAGUUGUUUUAAAAAACUUUUCAUAUUUAUAAAAUAGUCCAUUAACUAGGUUUGAUCUAAAGGAUAUAACGUGCAAGAUUUUGGAACAUUAAGUACAGAACUUGUCAAGUUUUGCGCUAAAGAACAGCGCCUGCAAUUUGAUGUAAACAUAAAGGACAAAACUUGUAAUUUACUCUUUUUUUAAAGUAUAAUAAUAGGGUCCUCGUAUUAAAGAUCAUAAGACGUUUGAUUUUAUGUAAUAUUUAAGGAAAAUAAAUAACAUAUAAAAAUAUUGCGAAAGUUAAAGAUUAAGAGGGAGAGAGAGGGAUAGCAUAUGACUUAUAUGCACAUGUUUUAUGUGAACAUGUGUUUAUUGAGAUUUUUUUUUUCUUAGAUGAAAUUAUCUUCCAACUUGUUUGAAAAUUAUCCUUCCUACUUGUUUUCUUUUUAUUAGACGCUAUCAUCUAGAGGUUUAUCACCUUAUUUAUUUUAGUUUCUGUAAAAUAAGUUAUCCCUUAAGAUAGUUAUUAUAGGAAAAGAAUGUAUUCUAUCAUAAAUAGCUAACGAUUAUGAUAAAAAUCAUUACACUACGUUUUCUUUGAUUCCUGGUUUUAUAAUUAUGUAUAUUUAUUUUGAGUUAAAAAAUAUAUUUUGUUUCGAUAAGCUAGUUUGAAUAACUAUCAGUGACUUAAUAAUGAGUGGUUGAACGGACUAUACCGUUAAUAUGAUUCAAUUUUUAUUUAGAUUAAAUUACAAGUUUUGUCCUUUAUGUUAAUACCAUUUUUCAGGCGCUGUCAUUUGGUGUAAAAGUUGACGAGUUCUGUACUUAAUGUUUCAAAAUCCUACAUGUUAUGUCCUUUAGCCCUAACCUAGUUAGAUUUUUCUGUUAAAUCAAAUUACACAAGGGUAAUUUGGUCUUUUUAUGUAUUUAUUUAAUAUUAUCUAUAAAAAUAAAACAAAAUAUUCUUAAAAAUAUCUCUCUUUAAAAACACUAAACCUUUCUCUUACCGUCUCUCUCUAAUCUCUCUUUAAGAGAACCAUCUCCAUCCACCUGCCGCUGACCACCAGCCACCACUGCACCCACCUAAGACAACCACCUCUCUCUAUCUUCACCUACCACCACCAUAUGCCGCCACCACCACGGUCUUCACCAACAUCAUCAUAUGCCGUCACCACCACCAUCUUCACCUCCUCCCCUACAACCACGACUAUCUUCACCACCACCACCGCCGUCUUCAUCAUCCAACUACCACCUCCUCCACCGCAAACACUAACUCCACCACCACCUCCCCCAUCGGAACCCUAACCCCAAAUAGAUUCGACAACACCAACAUCACAUGUGAGAUCGAUUGUGGAAGCUUGUUCGAUAAUUUUGAAGAUUUGAUUGAAUUCCCUACGGUAAAGCUAAUUCUAAUUUGAAGGUCUGAGGGUUUUGUUUUUUUUUAAUUAAAAAUGUAAAUGAUGCAAACAGAUCUUGAAUUUUAGUGCAUUAAAAGUCAAAGAAUGGAUUUCAUUUGCUCA